rnacentral:rRNA from 1 species
GACGAACGCUGGCGGCGUGCUUAACACAUGCAAGUCGAACGGAAAGGCCCUGCUUGCAGGGUAUUCGAGUGGCGAACGGGUGAGUAACACGUGGGUGAUCUGCCCUGCACUUCGGGAUAAGCCUGGGAAACUGGGUCUAAUACCGGAUAGGAGCCAUUUUUAGUGUGAUGGUUGGAAAGUUUUUUCGGUGUAGGAUGAGCUCGCGGCCUAUCAGCUUGUUGGUGGGGUAAUGGCCUACCAAGGCGGCGACGGGUAGCCGGCCUGAGAGGGUGGACGGCCACAUUGGGACUGAGAUACGGCCCAGACUCCUACGGGAGGCAGCAGUGGGGAAUAUUGCACAAUGGGCGCACGCCUGAUGCAGCGACGCCGCGUGGGGGAUGACGGCCUUCGGGUUGUAAACUCCUUUCGCUAGGGACGAAGCUUUUUGUGACGGUACCUAGAUAAGAAGCACCGGCUAACUACGUG